CUUCUUAUUUUGAAUUUGUGUUGAUAAACUUUUCAAUCACUCUGUUUUUUCUUUUUUCUAGAAUAAGUCUCAGAUCUUCAAAAGAAAGCAUUCCCUUACACCCAAGAUCGUGAAGCGCAUUCAGGUUUUGAGACAUAUAGAGGGCCAGCAUAAGAAGUUGUAACAGCAAUUUUUUUAGGACAUAGCUGCAUUGGUAGAUAAAUACCAUCAGCUUUACAAACCUCUCUACCAAAAGAGAUAUGAGAUUGUUAACGGUAUCAUUGAAGUUAAAGGAGUGCACCAGGACUGAGAUUGAGUGGUAUCCUGGGCAAAGCUUGACAAUCAGUCAAAGAAAGGACUCAAAUGAUGCCAAGUGCAUGUAGUGUAGCUCGAUUAAUGAUUUGAGUUGGCUGAUCUCACUUUUACCUAACCCAAUAUUGAUAGAUGGAAUGGUACUCAGUAAGUUUGAUACUAUAGACGAUAAGGUUGGAGUUGCGCUUUUCAUGAUUUACAUAUUUGGAGCUCCGGUCAUGUUUGUUGGGUGUAGGCAGUCCCUACAUAGACCUCAAAAAGUACACAUGUGUAAUCAAUUGUGAAGGAUCGCCUUGGGUUAGACUGCUUAGAUUAGAAUGGUUUGUUGUUUUAAUGUUGGCUGGGAUGAUUGGGAAAUGCUCCCUUUUUAUGUCUGAAGUUUAAUGUA